CACGGGUGGUGCUGUAUUGUGUGGUAGUUUUGUAUAUACAUAUCUUGUUUUCCUCUGACAUACAGUCUUAAUUCUAUCUAUUUAAUAAUGUUGGAUAAGCUUUCCAAAUUAUGCAAUCUUUUUGGAUAAACUUUUCAAAAUAUUAACAUUUCAAAACAAAUGCUAAAAUAAAAUGCUAAAUAUUUUUUAUAAUGUGAAAUCUUUUUAAAAGUUUAUCC